rnacentral:rRNA from 1 species
UACGGAGGGUGCAAGCGUUAUCCGGAUUCACUGGGUUUAAAGGGCGCGCAGGCGGACUUGUAAGUCAGUGGUGAAAUACCUGAGCUUAACUCGGGAACUGCCAUUGAUACUAUAGGUCUUGAAUGUUGUUGAGGUUUGCGGAAUGGGUCAUGUAGCGGUGAAAUGCAUAGAUAUGACCCGGAACACCUAUUGCGAAGGCAGCAGGCUAAACAAAUAUUGACGCUGAGGCUCGAAAGCGUGGGGAGCAAACAGG